GGGGAGUUUCCCGAGCGGUCAAAGGGGGCAGACUGUAAAUCUGUUGGCUAUGCCUUCCAAGGUCCGAAUCCUUGACUCCCCA
rnacentral:tRNA from 29 species